AUUGAACGCUGGCGGCAGGCCUAACACAUGCAAGUCGAACGAGUGGCGGACGGGUGAGUAAUAGCUGGGAAACUGCCUGAUGGAGGGGGAUAACUACUGGAAACGGUAGCUAAUACCGCAUCCCAUCAGAUGUGCCCAGAUGGGUGUAGCUAGUGGGGGGGGUAACGGCUCACCAAGGCGACGAUCCCUAGCUGGUCUGAGAGGAUGACCAGCAACACUGGAACUGAGACAAGGUCCAGACUCCUACGGGAGGCAGCAGUGGGGAAUAUUGCACAAUGGGCGCAAGCCUGAUGCAGCCAUGCCGCGUGAAUGAAGAAGGCCUUCGGGUUGUAAAGUACUGUCAGCGGGGAGGCGUUACCCGCAGAAGAAGCACCGGCUAACUCCGUGCCAGCAGCCGCGGUAAUUC
rnacentral:rRNA from 1 species